UUUUGCAGAUAUAAGCUUAUUUAAGAAGUUACAAGCAUUUUGUUAGUAUUUGGUCCAACAUACUUUUUUAACAUAUUUUGGGUAUGCUGAAUCCAAAAAUAUUUGUUGGCCAUCUGGCAAAUGCCUCUGAAAGGGUUAAAAAUGUGGGCAAAUAUGACCACUAUUUUUAACAAAAAAAUUUCCGUCGAUAUUACUUUAUAAUACAAAUCUUUAUCUUUAGAUAUGUUUCAACAAAUUAUUUCAUGUUAUUAGUAUGACUGAGUAAACAUUUUUCAAUAAAAUAUAUCACAAGUUAAAAAUGUGAACUUUACGGGGUUCAAAAAGGGGAAUUUGAAGACAAUUUAGAAAAAUAAUAUAAAAAAUAACCCUACAUCAUUUAUAGAAUAGAAAAAUGAGACUAAGUAUUAGAUUGAAAACUUCCGCUGGAAUUUUAAUGUCAAAUAGAAAAUAUUUUUGAUGAAAUGGUUUUGCAGUUUUAAAAUAGUCAUUUAAGAAAAAAAUAAACAAUGGGGAAGUUAAAACUUAAUUAACAUGACAUUGUCUGUAAUGAACAAAAUACCAUGUAGGACAUAUUUUAUCCUUGUAAGAUCAUUUUAUUUAAUAAUCAACUUUUUAAUACCUUAGCAUCAUAAUAAUUGAUGAAAAUUAAGUGUGACAGGGAUUAAGAUUAAGGCUAAUGUGAACUUAAUUAGUAUAAACAAUCCAGGUCUCUAUCACAAUAACAAUCUGAGUCAAAUCAUGUUUUUGUUAAAGUCCUUAUCUAAACUCUUGUGUUUUACCUGUUCUUCAAUGCAAAUUAACUCUGACAAGAACACACUCUUUCAUGAUCAUUAAGGUUUUAGAGGUGUCAAGAAUACUUCAUGAAAUCAGGACUUUUCGAAGGACAUUUUACAGGUGUUAAAAUAUUCCAAAGUAAGAAUGGACAAGACUUUGCAUCUCAAGAGACCAUUUCAAGAUGGCACAAAAUGGUGCAUCAUUUGUCAGGAGGCAAAAUCUGACAAAACUUGAAACUAAACAGCCUCAAGGCAUAACAUCUCUAAAAGAAUUUGCUGAAUCAAGAUUUCUUUUAGAGAUUUUUUCUAAAUAUGAAGCCAUUAGUAGAAUUGAAAAAAUAGAUGAAAAUGACAAAAUACGUUGCCAUAGAAAGUGUUAUUCUAAUUUUGUCCACAAAGAACUCAGUCAAAGCUAAGUUUAAUAUAGAACAAACAUCAAAUAAAGCUGCAUCCUCAUAAAACUUAUCAUAUACUCCUACUAAACUGGGAAAUGGAUAUGUUCUAUCGGGACAAAAAACAAAACAAAAAAAAACAAAAAAAAAAAAAAAAAAAAAACAUGAAAAACAUAACAAGUCAGUGUUUUAAAGGAUGCGAUUAUGACUCUCUGAUGUCAACAGAGGGCAAACAAAAUAAAAAUAUUUAAAUUCUUUUAGAUACGGAGUUCGCAAAACCAAGUCGGACAACUCAAAUACAGAUCUUGCCUAAUGUUUCUUAUACAUGAACGUGGGUAUGCUGCAAUAAAAUCGCAAAUACUGCAGCUUUCAGACAGUUGGAACAGAUACCGCAUACGUACUGAAGAGACUUCUUCAACAAUUCUUUGUCAUUUAAUUCUAGAAUAUCAUCUUUCAAAGAAGCCCUACAACGUAAACUGAGAAACCAGUUUUAAUUUGUAACUCCACUACAUAUAUAUUCUAAUGAAAGGAAUGCACUUCUUGUUCUAUAUGAAUGUGCUGCGUCAAUGCUUAGAGAUGCCCAUCAUAAUAUUACUGGUAAUAGUGAUGAACGGCUGACAGUACAGAAAUAUAAUUCCAGUGACGACUUCUUGUCAUUAGUACACGUAGCACUUAGAUUAAGGGCUAAUUUGUUCUCUCUGGAAGGACAUUCUGGACUGAGUGUGACUAAAAAUGAUUCAGUAAACUGUGUUCCGGAGUGUCUGUUCAUGUUCUGUAUUUAACGUAUGGUGGCCAAGAGCUUCUAGAUGAAGAAUUUGACCACAAAGAUCCUGAAUCUGAUAGGCAAACAAAAAUAUUAAGUGUAGCACAAGAUAUUGUUUAUGGAGUGAGUGAUGGUAAAAAAAUGGAACCCUUAACACAUAGAUCUUGCAAGUACAUUGCACUAGAUGACUAGGUUAAAACAUUCAGUUAACCUAUUUUAUACUGCAGGACACACAUAGAGCUACAGAGACAUACUAAGAGUAGACACAUCUUUAGCUGAAAAAAACCAACCUGGAAUCAAUGGAUCCUGAAACUGGUUAUGUUAUUCCGCUGAAUCGUAAUGAGAAUGAGAUAUCGACACAUGAAACACUGUUGUUCAAAAAUGUAUGCAUAUAUCAAAAGACUGGGACAGUCGCAUUUAGUUAUAACUGUUGACCAGGCUCUUUACUUUAAGCUUGUGGAUUUGAAAUGGGCAAUGCCCUGGAAUGGGUGGUUUCAAUGAAUUAUUUGAAAUCUGGUGUAACUUUUUUAGCACUUCCUGCAAAUAAAAUUGACGUAGUAGAUUUUUUACUAGAAGCUGAUCAUGCAGUUGCCUACAGAAAGGCCGUUGGUUGUUGGCGUCAGCUUUUAAGAAGAAGGAACUAUUGAAACCACUGCCAUUGAACUUAAUUUGGAUGAAUUAAAGGCUAAACGCGAGGAAGCUGACACAAGAAUCAUUCUCCAUGCUGUUCGCUGCAGUAAACGAUCAAAUUGUAACAAUGUUGUUGUUUCUGCCAGAGAUACUGACGUAUUUGCUCUAACUAUGCCACUUGCAGGAAUUAAAUGCAACAGUAUGGAUGAUGGCUGGAGCAGUGAAAAAAAACGAAAAUACAUUCAAGUGAACACAGUGUUAAAUAAAUCCUCAAUAACUGAAGAGUUGCGUAGAAAUUUACUUGCCUUUCAUGCACUCACUGGCUGAGACACAACAUCAAAUUUCUGUGGAAUCUCUAAAGAUCUGUAUUUGAAGUGUUUACAGCCAGUGCAAAACUGAUAGGUCUUGGAUAUGGACAACUGUCUGAUGAAGUAACGAAAAACUGAAUAUUUUAUUUGCAAAAUGUAUGGCCAAGAUGCUGUAAGUACUGACAGUGCUCAAAAUGUUAAUGUUUGGCAGGUCUAUAAGUCCUGAACACAUACCUCCAACCAGUGAUGCUUGCUCAUUUCACAUUAGAAGAGCUCAUUAUCAAGCCCUGGUAUGGAACCAAUCAACUGUCCUCAAUGCAGACCUGCCUGCACCUUCCGACAUGGGAUGGAAGGUGGCAGAUGACACACUUAAGCCAGUUCUUAUUACCCGUGAUCCAAUUCCUCAAGCUUGUAUUGAGUUCAUUGCUUGCAAGUGUACACCUGGAUGUAGGACCCUCAGAUGUAAAUGUAAAAGACUGGGCUCUUAAGCACAGAUAUAAAUUAUGUAUAUGCGAUAAAAGCAUUACCAGCUGUAUGAACUCGAGGCAUGAAAUGAACAUGACAUUAACAUGAAAUGGAACUGUGAAAGCAAAUAUUUCAAUCUAUAUUAUUUUGAAAUAAUUAUAUGAUAAACAGUUUAGCUUCUGUCCUAUAAAAUAAUUCCAAAUAUAAAAUUAGUGUACUGUA